AGCAGCCGCGGUAAUUCCAGCUCCAAUAGCGUAUAUUAAAGUUGUUGCAGUUAAAAAGCUCGUAGUUGAAUUUCGAGACCGGUUUAUUGGUCGUGCUUUUGUACGUACUGGUAUAAUCAGUUUCUCUCUUCUGACGAACCAUAAUGCCAUUAAUUUGGUGUUAUGGGAAAUCAGGACUGUUACUUUGAAAAAAUUAGAGUGUUUAAAAGCAGGCUCACGCUUGAAUACAUUAGCAUGGAAUAACGAAAUAGGACGUUUGAUUUUAUUUUGUUGGUUUCUAGGAUCGACGUAAUGAUUAAUAGGGAUAGUUGGGGGCAUUAGUAUUCAAUUGUCAGAGGUGAAAUUCUUGGAUUUAUUGAAGACUAACUACUGCGAAAGCAUUUGCCAAGGAUGUUUUCAUUAAUCAAGAACGAAAGUUAGGGGAUCGAAGACGAUCAGAUACCGUCGUAGUCUUAACCAUAAACUAUGCCGACUAGGGAUCGGAUGAUGUUAAUUUUUAAUGACUCAUUCGGCGCCUUAC
rnacentral:rRNA from 1 species